rnacentral:lncRNA from 1 species
CGAAAGGAUGAAUGAAAAGUCCGGAGCCGGAGCGCGCCCGGGCCAGAGCAGCGGCAGAGGCUGGGGAGGGAGCUAGGGAGGUGAGCUCUGCCCUGCUCGCCUUGGCUCGGCGGAGGCUGAGAUCCCGGCGGGCGCCUCCACCCCGGCGCCCGCUGAGCCCUGGCACCUCGAACCCAGGGCCAUGGCGUUCCGUGGGCGGGAACGUGCCGGGAGGACCGCGAGGGAGAGCACUGAUGGGCACACUGGGCUCGAUGUACAGCUUCCCACCACCCAGGAAGGAAGGAACUGGCCUGGAUUUUGGCAACCUCUUGCUUGUACCAAAAAGAAGAACCUACUUCAUCCAGUUGGCUUCAGUGCCCUGUGAGAAGCCUUCCUGAUUGAUGGAAAGAUGAGGCUAAAUUCUAGCAAGUUGAGUGGCUCCUUCAAGAAGCCUGUGUGCAGGAUAGAAGUGGAGAGGCCAUAGCCUCCAGCCUGGGCAGCCCAUUGGCACCUGGAGCCACCUCAACUUUGCCUCCCCUUUGCUCCUGUGUCUAUAAGCUGCCCAGCCCAGCCCAUCCUGGUUUCUCCUGUGUGUUCUGAGCUGAGAUUUCUCUGAGAUGGAAGCCCCAUCCCAUGUCUAAUAAAGACUCUUGAAUACUGAACA